rnacentral:tRNA from 1 species
GGCAACAUGGCCCAGUGAAAAGGGCAUGGGCCUGGAGGGCAGAGGACCUGGGUUCUAAUCCUGGUUCUGCCA